AGAUUAAACUGAAGAGUUUGAUCCUGGCUCAGAUUGAACGCUAGCGGGAUGCCUUACACAUGCAAGUCGAACGGCAGCACGGACUUCGGUCUGGUGGCGAGUGGCGAACGGGUGAGUAAUGUAUCGGAACGUGCCCAGUAGCGGGGGAUAACUACGCGAAAGCGUAGCUAAUACCGCAUACGCCCUACGGGGGAAAGCAGGGGAUCGUAAGACCUUGCACUAUUGGAGCGGCCGAUAUCGGAUUAGCUAGUUGGUGGGGUAACGGCUCACCAAGGCGACGAUCCGUAGCUGGUUUGAGAGGACGACCAGCCACACUGGGACUGAGACACGGCCCA
rnacentral:rRNA from 1 species